rnacentral:tRNA from 1 species
CAAAGAAUAGUUUAUUUAAAAUAUUAAUUUUGGAGAUUAAUGAUAAGGUCAUCUUUUCUUUGA